AAGGCCUGAUUGUCGUUAAAGUUGAAGAUGAAGAAGUGAUGUCCACGAUGGAUGAUGAGCCGUGUAAGGAGGAGGAACGUUCUCUAGAGAUCAGCACAGACCCCGGAGACACUCAGAGAGACGUCAAAUCUGAGGAGGAGGAAGAAGGACAUGUGAAGAUUAAAGAGGAGGAAGUUCCUAUAGAGAUCAGCACAAGUGAAUGGCCAACAC